rnacentral:tRNA from 1 species
UGAGUAGCUCAGCUGGAUAGAGCAACAGCCUUCUAAGCUGUGGGUCGAGGGUUCGAAUCCCUCCUCG